ACUUUAAGGGUGAGCUGUGCCUCCUGUUAGGAUUUCUACUAGGGAGGAAGUUCAGGUGUUAGUUGGCCAAAAGAAUGGCAAAUAUCCAUGACUAACAGGAAGAAGAAAGACUGACCAUUGUCACCCACUACUUCUCCUCUACAAUUACCAGAUGGACACAGUGAGAUCAGGAAAAGAAAUAAGAACUCAAUGAAUUGGAAAGAAGAAAGAAAACCCUCCUUUUUUCACAGAUGCCUUUGGCCUGAAGGUCAACAGCUACAGCCCUGCUUUAGGACACUGCUCAACUUAUGUCCAUGCUGAAGUUGGCUCAGUAUGCUCCAUGUACUUUUUUAUUCUUCAUGGACCAGCAGCUACCUGAGACUUGUUCUCAACACAGUGAAUCACUGGAGUGAAUAAAGAUAAGUAGAAAUAUUUGAUAUCUUCUGUGGCUUUUGCCUGGAACUAGCACCUUCUCACUUCUCCCACAUUCCAUUGACCAAGUAUGUCACAAUCCCAACAUUAGUGAAACAGAGAAAUAUACCAUGCCUUUAGUGGGAGAACUAUAAAGUCAUAUGGCUAAAGGUAUGAAUGUAUAAAUAUAUUUAUGGAAAGUCAUGAAGAAUUGACAGCCAUGAUCCAAUAUCACACCAAAGAAAAAAGAAUUCUGCGGUGAUAUUUGAAAUAUCUGAUAUUCUUCUUUUCCACUACUUUUGUAGCAAUGGAAUAACUAUGACUUUGUUGCGCAUACAAUACUUGUUGAGAUUUGGUAACACAAUGAAGUCUUCACAGGACAUUGUCUUGGGACUUUCCCAUAUCUAGGGUAAUGAAAGAGACAUUGGCUCAUAUCUGUAAUCCCAGCACUUUGGAGACUGAGGCAGUUGAAUUGCUUGGGCCCAAGAGUUCUAGAGCAGCCUGGGCAAAUGAUGAAACCCCGUUUCUACAAAAAAAUACAAAAAUUAGCCGAGUUUGGUGGCACGUGCCUGUAGUUCCAACUACUGGGGAGGCUGAGGUGGGAGUAUCACUUGAGCCCUGGAGACAGAGGUUGCGGUGAGCCAAGAUCACACCAUUGCAUUCCAGCCUGAGUGACAGAGUAAGGCCUUGUUUCAAAAGAGGG
rnacentral:lncRNA from 1 species